ACUCCUACGGGAGGCAGCAGUGGGGAAUAUUGCACAAUGGGGGAAACCCUGAUGCAGCCAUGCCGCGUGUAUGAAGAAGGCCUUCGGUUGUAAAGUACUUUCAGCAGUGAGGAAGGCGGAGUCGUUAAUAGCGGCCUCGUUUGACGUUAGCUGCAGAAGAAGCACCGGCUAACUCCGUGCCAGCAGCCGCGGUAAUACGGAGGGUGCGAGCGUUAAUCGGAAUUACUGGGCGUAAAGCGCAUGCAGGUGGUUUGUUAAGUCAGAUGUGAAAGCCCGGGGCUCAACCUCGGAAUUGCAUUUGAAACUGGCAGACUAGAGUACUGUAGAGGGGGGUAGAAGUUUCAGGUGUAGCGGUGAAAUAGCGUAGAGAUCUGAAGGAAUACCGGUGGCGAAGGCGGCCCCCUGGGACAGAUACUGACACUCAGAUGCGAAAGCGUGGGGAGCAAACAGGAUU
rnacentral:rRNA from 1 species